rnacentral:rRNA from 1 species
UACGUAGGGUCCGAGCGUUGUCCGGAAUUAUUGGGCGUAAAGGGCUCGUAGGCGGUUUGUCGCGUCGGGAGUGAAAACACGGGGCUUAACCCCGUGCCUGCUUCCGAUACGGGCAGACUAGAGGUAUGCAGGGGAGAACGGAAUUCCUGGUGUAGCGGUGAAAUGCGCAGAUAUCAGGAGGAACACCGGUGGCGAAGGCGGGUCUCUGGGCAAUAACUGACGCUGAGGAGCGAAAGCGUGGGGAGUGAACAGG